AUUGAACGCUGGCGGCAGGCCUAACACCUGCAAGUCGCGCGAGCGGCGGACGGGUGAGUAAUGUAUGGGGACUGCCCGAUAGAGGGGGAUAACUACUGGAAAAGGUAGCUAAUACCGGCUACUAUCGGAUAACCCAUAUGGGAUUAGCUAGUAGGUGAGGUAAUGGCUCACCUAGGCGACGAUCCCUAGCUGGUCUGAGAGGAUGAUCAGCCACACUGGGACUGAGACACGGCCCAGACUCCUACGGAGGCAGCAGUGGGGAAUAUUGCACAAUGGGCGCAAGCCUGAUGCAUCCAUGCCGCGUGUAUGAAGAAGGCCCUAGGGUUGUAAAGUACUUUCAGUCGGGAGGCGUUACCGACAGAAGAAGCACCGGCUAACUCCGUGCCAGCCGCCGCGGUAAUUC
rnacentral:rRNA from 1 species